rnacentral:pre_miRNA from 1 species
AGUGAAAUACCUGAGUUAAAUGGUGGUUCCAUUCCCAAUUUUCUAAGGAAUCUCCAUACUGCUUUCCAUAGUGGUUAUACCAAUUCACAGUCUCACCAGCAAU